UUGUCUUCUCUGUGGUCGGUCUCGGUCUCGUUCGGUUCGGUCCGCUCUGAACUGGUCUAUAUAUCGAGCAGUGGAUCCUAUAUAUAUAUAUAUAUCUUCUAUAAACCCACAGCCAUUUAUUACGAUAUUCUGUGCAUAUUUCCAGCAUUUGUGGCCAUUACUCGGGCGGUGUGGAUGGUGUGGCAAGUGCUCCUCAAUCGCUGUCAUGUGUCCGGCUCUGGCUCGGGCCGCAGCAUGACCCAAUUCUUGCCACAUGUGCCUGUGUGUGUGUGUCUCUUGGGCAUUUAACGAUUGCCAUUAAGGCACUUGGCCAUAACGCCUGAGUGUUUGUUUAUAUUGAGAGCGUUUCCAAAAAUGAUUGCAUAAUUUAUUUCGCGGACAAAAUACUCUGGGACCCACUCGGCGUCCCGUUUCUGAUUAUUAACCGCUAGUGAUUUUGCGUUUUUAGCCAUGAAGAAACUGCAUCUGGGGGCCAAAAGCAAGGCCAAGUCCUACAAGCCCUUUCGGAACAACAAAAACCGUCGGGGUUCUGCCGACUCGAACUACUCACAACCGUCAUCCGAUCUGUCGCUAGACGAGGAAAAGGAAUCGCUUCGGCGAGAAAAGGAACGUCAGGCCUUAAGCCAGUUGGAUAAAGCGAGGAGCAAACCAGUGGCGUUCGCUGUGCGAACCAACGUAGCAUACGAUGGCGCUAUCGACGACGAUUCGCCCGUGCAGGGUGGCGCCGUUUCAUUCGAGAUCAGGGAGUUCCUGCACAUCAAAGAGAAGUAUGACAAUAACUGGUGGAUCGGCCGGCUGGUCCGAGAAGGCAGUGAUGUGGGCUUCAUACCCAGCCCCGCUAAGCUAGACAACAUUCGUAUGCAGAACCAAACCAGACCCUCAAGACUGUAUGGCACAAAGGGCUCGUCGAGCGGCAAUCUGGGCGCCGGUGGAGGCCAAGCAGGUGCGGAGCCAUCACGAGAUUCCAUGGGACCGGGACGUCACGGGAAGACACCGCUGGCCACGGCACCGAACAAGGAGAAGCGCAAGCCGUUCUUCAAGAAGCAGGAGACGGCCAGCCCGUACGAUGUGGUGCCAUCGAUGCGACCCGUCGUCCUGGUGGGUCCGAGCCUUAAGGGCUACGAGGUGACCGACAUGAUGCAGAAGGCGCUCUUCGACUUCCUCAAGCACCGCUUCGAGGGCCGCAUCAUCAUCACGCGCGUGAUGGCCGACAUUUCCCUGGCGAAGCGCUCCAUCCUGAACAAUCCAUCGAAGCGGGCCAUCAUGGAGCGGUCGAGCAGUCGGUCCGACAAUCUCGGCAAGGUGCAGGAGGAGAUCGAGCGCAUCUUCGAGCUGGCCCGCUCGCUCCAGUUAGUCGUACUCGAUUGUGAUACAAUCAAUCAUCCGUCACAAUUAGCAAAAACUUCAUUAGCGCCAACAGUAGUGUACUUAAAGAUUAGUAGUAGUAAGGUUUUACAGCGUUUGAUCAAAUCACGCGGCAAAUCGCAGGCGAAAAACCUCUCCGUUCAAAUGGUUGCCGCCGAGAAGCUAUCCCAAUGUCCACCGGAAAUGUUCGAUGUGAUUCUAGACGAGAACCAGCUGGAAGAUGCCUGCGAGCACAUAGCCGAGUAUUUGGAGACCUACUGGAAGGCCACACAUCCCGAUAUUCGUGCAGUGCCGCCGAUAGCCAGGCCCCUGCCGCAGGAGGCCUCCCCCUUGGCGGAUGCGGCACGCCUCGGACCGACACCGCCAGUUACUCCGGGCACUGUGCGCCUCUAAGCACAGGUCACCACCACUCGUUACCCCCAGUGUAAUCUCCCCUGAUUUCUGUACUCCCCACGUUUUCGGUAUUCAAAUCAUCCAAUCCAAGUUGCAAUCGUUGUUUAGAUCUGGUUUAGAGGAAGCUCGUACCACCACAGCCGGCGCCAGACGACGGCGGGACGCCACCAGGAGCGGGGCGGUGGCGUCGGAGCCGGCGGCUAUGAG
rnacentral:misc_RNA from 1 species